GCCAUGGCUAGCCGAGGAGGCAGCGGUGGUAGAGACCGAUUUCGCAGAGAUUUUGGGUCUUCACGUUACGAAGACAGCACUAGUAGUAAUAGCAGUAGUAAGCGAGGCAAUAAUCCGCCUUCAAGGCACCUAUGGGUUGGGAAUUUGUCGCACAGUUUGGUGGAGAAUGAAUUGACCGAUCACUUUUUGCAGUAUGGGGAGUUGGAUACAGUAGCUUUCCAGGCAGGGCGGAGCUCCGCAUUUAUUAAUUUUAAGAGGGAAGAUGAUGCGAUUGUAGCCAUGAAGGAUCUCCAGGGUUUUCCACUUGCUGGCAACCCGCUUAGGAUUGAGUUUGCUAAGGCGGAGAAGUCAUCUGUACCAUCACGUGAUGAAGAUUACUUGCAACGGCGAGAUGAACAGCGCUCUGGAUUAAAAGGAGGCCCUUUCUCUCAGAGGGACUCUAGACUUCGUAAUGCUAGUCCUGACCCAUAUUAUGUUGACAAAUCCAAGAUAAAUGAUAAGAGUGCUGAACCUAGUGAGGUGUUAUGGAUAGGUUUUCCAGCCUUGUUGAAGGUAGAUGAAAUGAUCUUAAGAAAGGCUUUUUCACCAUUUGGUGAGAUUGAAAAGAUUACCGUAUUUCCAGGCCGUAGUUAUGCUUUUGU
rnacentral:misc_RNA from 1 species